UGGCUCUCUCUCUGGGGGUUUUGGUGGUAUAAACAGAGAAAGCGUUGUACUCGUUCAGAUGAGGCUCGAGGUAUGCCACAGGCAUCGCUGCAGCUAAAUGAGCUAAACAUUCUCCCAGAGCUGGCCUGUACCUUUCGGCAUGAGGAGUUUUGACGGUACCGAGAGAGUAAAUGCUGCACAUGAUUCUGUAGCAGGACAUCUGCAGGUCAUCCACUAACACAUAAAAAAAAACUCGUUUCAUUUCCUCAGAUCUCAAACGCUAACAACUUUAUAUAUUUAGCUACGUAACUUAUAAAACUUAUAAAAGUUUUAUUUGAAAAAGUGUCUAGGAUGUCCAAUCAGGUUCCGCUCAGGAUUUUGGACCGAUUAACGCGAACGUCGCCCCGGUGUGAUUUAGAGCAGCUUACGUAUGACGUCGUCUCCGAACUGGUGCUGUGCGAUGUGAUCGAACAGCGAGGUGAGGACCGGCAGCAGGGCCACGGUAGUAUAGUUAAUAUUUUGAGAUACGCCCUUCACCGGCUAGACACAGAAAAGUAUUAGACACAAUAAACACACAAACAUUUAAACAUUAAAUUAUAUCCUAAUAAAACCAUGUAAUGUUUUAUUUUUGUUUUACACCCAGUACUACUCGCAGUGUGUGUAAGUGUGUUAAAUUUCCAGUGUAUAUUUUUUCAGCUUUUUUUUUACUCUAAUUAAAUGAUAUUGAGCAGGGGGCUACUCCACACUUCAGAGAAAAGCUUAGCAUUUGGAAAGUGCAGUACUUAAUUCACACCUGUAUGUGAUGUACUGUACUGUGUUGUUGAAACUGUUUGCUGAUUGAAAUGUGCUCGAAUGUGCUUCCUGUGGUACCUGGUUGCCUUUCGACACUUUGCCCAGUUUGAGGUUCUCCACCAUCUUUUCGAUGUCAUCAGCCGCACUCUCGAAGAAUGAUCUCAACCCGGCCUUCACAAUCUCGGGUCCUGAUUUCAUCACCGUUCUGCCAGAGACAGGACAGAGAGAGAACCAGAGAAAGAACCAGAGACAUAUCCAGAGUCAGAACCAGAGUCAGAACAGAGAGAGAACCAGAGAUAGAACAAGAGACAGAAACCAGAAGAGAACCAGAGACAGAACCAGAGACAGAGAGAGAAACCAGAGACAGAGAGAGAACCAGAGACAGAACCAGAGACAGAGACAGAACCAGAGACAGAGAGAGAACCAGAGACAGAUCCAGAAACAGAGAGAGAGACAAAACCAGAGACAAAACCAGAGACACAACCAGAGACAGAACAAGAGACAGAGAGAGAGACACACCAGAGACAGAGACAGAACCAGAGACAGAGACAGAGAGAGAACCAGAGAUUGAACCAGAGACAGAACCAGAGACAGAGACAGAACCAGUUCAAUCAUAUCAGUUUUGCAAUAAAAUAAAGAGUAAUGAAAACUGCAUAUGCUGCUAAUAAUAAUAAGAAGAAGAUGACUAGCUCCUGCAAUUACUGUACAUACAACGAUCCCACAAAGAAAAGUGAAGACUCCAUAUGAGAUCAUACGUGUCAAAGACUUAUAAUGGGUUAAAUACAGAAAUAAAAUGCUAUGAUUCUUUAGAAAUCACAUUUAGCGAGGCAUCAACUCUGGAACACACAAACACACAGCGCAUGUGCUCCUUUUCAUAACAUAAUGCCGUUCCACUUUAAGAUUUGGAUAGAAAGAGACCUGUAUGGACAUGGAUAUACAGUAGAACUGAUAAAUAAGAUGAAUUUAGAAAUGUAAAAAAGUAACCUUGCGUCGAGCGAGCGUGCGAGUAUGUGGAGACAGUUCACGAUAGCAGGGGCGUCCGUGCCUAAGACAGAAACACACAGAUGUGAAUCGAAAUAGCGUUUAAUAACCGGCAAAUUAAAGCUCUGAGUAGCGGACGUAGACUUCCGGACUUGGCUGGAGCAAAUAAACAGGAAAGACUUAGAGAUGCACAGCAGUAUCAGCGGUACAGAAAAGAACCGAAGAGAACCGAAGAGAGAGAGAAGGAUGUGUGCAGGCAUCUUACCGAAGAGAAAAACUCUGUGUCUCACCAGAGCAGACAUCUUACAGAAUAUACUGCAACGGUAAAGGAAAUGAAAAAGGCAGAAGAGUGGGAAAGAAUGAAUAAAGGAGAAAAAAGAAAAACAGAAAGCAUCAACGCAGAGGAAAGGUUUCAAAGACUGCAGACUAAAAAAAUAAAAUCAGCAGAAGAAUGAAAAGAAAGCUAACAUUCGUUUCUUUCACAAGUGUGUUUUUAAAAGCGUUUUUUUUUUUUUUUUUUUUAACUACCUGGCGAUCAUUUCUUUCUCCUUAUUCGAGGCGUGGCCGCCGCUGCCCAGGAUUUUAGCAGGAGUGGACAGGAAAUAGAGGCAGUGGUUUUUAAAAUACUGAUUUAUCAACGGCAAGAGGAUCUGAAGAGGACAGAAACAUGAGGCUUCGUAUAAAUAUAUUUGGUUUUCAGAGACUGAUUCUGAAACGUUAUUAAACAAGCUUAACCUUGGCGAAGAACUUGAUCUCCUGCUCAUGAGGUGAUUUCUCCACACGACCGCUGCUGACCACCGCCUCUGCACGCGCACACACACAAUAAUAAAGAUUAUAUGUAUAUACAUAUGAUUUGAUCAUUACUAUUGCACCCCUCUACUUAAACACACUAUCGGUUAAUGAUAAAAUACGUUACGAAAAACUAUUUUAUAUACAAUCUAACACUAUUAUUAUACUAUUGUGGAAAGCAGUAGAUACAUGCAGCAUAUACAGCAGUGG
ensembl:lncRNA